rnacentral:rRNA from 1 species
CGAAAUUCCUUGUCGGGUAAGUUCCGACCCGCACGAAAGGCGUAACGAUCAGGGCGCUGUCUCGGAGAGAGGCUCGGCGAAAUAGAAUUGUCUGUGAAGAUGCGGACUACAUACACCCGGACAGAAAGACCCUAUGAAGCUUUACUGUAGCUUGGUAUUGUGCCCGGGCUCUGAAUGCGCAGGAUAGGUGGGAGACGUUGAUCUAGUGCUCGUGGGUGCUAGGGAGUCAAUGGUGAGAUACCACUCUUUCAGAGCUAGGGUUCUAACGUUCACCCGUUAUCCGGGGAGCGGACAGUAUCAGGUGGGCAGUUUGACUGGGGCGGUCGCCUCCUAAAUGGUAACGGAGGCGCGCAAAGGUUCCCUCAGCACGCUUGGAAACCGUGCAUAGAGUGUAAAGGCAUAAAGGGAGCUUGACUGCAAGAGUUACAACUCAAGCAGGGACGAAAGUCGGCCUUAGUGAUCCGACGGCACUGAGUGGAAGGGCCGUCGCUCAACGGAUAAAAGGUACUCCGGGGAUA